rnacentral:rRNA from 1 species
CGAGUUUGAUCCUGGCUCAGAUUGAACGCUGGCGGCAUGCCUAACACAUGCAAGUCGAACGGCAGCGCGGGGGCAACCCUGGCGGCGAGUGGCGGACGGGUGAGGAAUGCAUCGGAAUCUGCCUGGUUGUGGGGGAUAACGUAGGGAAACUUACGCUAAUACCGCAUACGACCUACGGGUGAAAGUGGGGGACCGCAAGGCCUCACGCGAUCAGAGGAGCCGAUGCCGGAUUAGCUAGUUGGCGGGGUAAAGGCCCACCAAGGCGACGAUCCGUAGUUGGUCUGAGAGGAUGAUCAGCCACACUGGAACUGAGACACGGUCCAGACUCCUACGGGAGGCAGCAGUGGGGAAUAUUGGACAAUGGGCGCAAGCCUGAUCCAGCAAUGCCGCGUGUGUGAAGAAGGCCUUCGGGUUGUAAAGCACUUUUGUACGGGAAGAAAAGCUGCCGGCUAAUACUCGGCGGUCAUGACGGUACCGUAAGAAUAAGCACCGGCUAACUUCGUG